rfam:Asian citrus Psyllid, Diaphorina citri - Florida Strain, whole genome shotgun sequence.
GCCGAGUUAGCUUGGAAGGUAGAGCGCCCGCCUUGUAAGCGUAAGCGGCAAGCGCUGGGUCGCGGGUUCGAUUCCUGCCCGGCG